CAACAUGUAACACAGCCGACUCACUGACCCGCUAACGUUUGCAUGAAUUGUUUCCAGUCGGAAGAGUGGUGGGGCCGAAAAAUUCCACAUUCUAGAGACACUGCGAAAAAAUUCUUAUUCUGCUUCCGACAACUUCAAGUGCAGCGACUUAUAAUUGUCUACUGAAAAAUUGUGAAGUUUUUCGAGAAUUAGGAAUAUCUCUUGUGUGGCUCGAGAAUUCUUCGUUUAUUUUAUUCACCUAGUGAAGUUGUAUUACUAAAAUCAAAAAACUGCCCACCGAAUCAAUCACAUCAAUGCAAAGUAUGCUGUACACCUAAAUGCAAAAAACCUAUAUGUCCUCCUCAUCAAGCGUCUCCAGUAUGUACGAAAGAUACAUGUAGGUGUAAGCCUGGGCUUUUGGUAGAUGAGACUAAACCCAGCUUAGCGAGCGUGACGCAAAAGAACUGCCCGAAAACCAAAUAAAACGAAAAAAAGAGCGGAGCCGGCUUAUUUUCAACAUUACAGUAAAAGCUUCAAGUGAAAUUUUAAAACUGAUGUUGUAUACUAUUCUUAUGUAAUCACUUAUUAUAAACCAUAAAAUAAAUAUCACUCUGAAUAAAA